ACAUUGUGUCAGGAGAAUUUGGGAAGCCUUGGCCAUCAACCGAAGAUUGAGAUGGUAGUAUUCAGACGGUGGUUGGAAUGAGAUUCGAAUAUGAACAUACGGUUUGGUACAGUUAUGAGAUUUAGGGAAAAUUGAGAACUUAUGGGCAUUUGAGAAGUUGUGAAGUUUUUAUGCGAUGAUGUUUUUUCCGGAGUAUAAUGGAUUGAAUUUUACUUGCGGUAGUGGUGUUGUACUCAUUAUGGAAUGAUACUCAAUGGAUGUUCGUGCUAUGGGAGCACUAUUGUAGUUUGGUGAAAAUGGAAUAUGUCAUCGUCAUGAUUGUCGGCUAUCUAUUGACAAAUUGAGGAACUGAUCACCCUUAAUCUCUUGUUAAUAGUAGACGAAAUUGUGUUGAUUGGAAUAGACUAGUUUUAUCAUACUUGAUAGUGAGCAGAGUUUUGGUGGUUCUUUUGGAAAGCCGGAUGAAGGAGUCUUAUCGGAGUUGUUCCAGUCAGAUGAUUUUCGAGGACGAAAAUUCUUUAAGUGGGGGAGAGUUGUAACGCCCCGAAUUUUAAUUAGGAAUACUUUAGGGAUAUAUGAUUUAUUAAAUGAUGUCUAAUUAUGUGCUUAUGUGUAUUUGUGUGUUUAUGAAUUUUAAAUUGAUUUUGACAUGUUAAGUGUGUUUUUAUGUCUUGUGUAAUUAUUGUGGUUUGAGAUUAAAUUAGAUAGUAUUAUAAUUUAGGAGUUAGUUAUGGGAGAAAAUAAAUAAUUAGAGGUUUUGGACUUAUUUAUGAGAGAAAGAGGUAGAGAGAGAAGUUAAAAGAAGGGUUUUGGUGAAAGUUGAAGAGAAAGAAGAGAUGAGGAAUGCAAAUCUCGUUUUCAACACAGCAGCCUCACAAAAACUUCGAUUCCCGAUUCGUUAACCGUUGGAUGUCCUUCAAAUUUUGAGGGUAGGUUCAUAACAUCUGAGGCCAACUUUUGACCGUUCGGAUCGUUGAAACAAGGUCUGAGGAGGAAGAAAUUGAGUUCGGAUUGCACCAGAUGUGUUGGGGAGAAAAAGAGGGAAAAAGGCAAGAACAAGGUGGAGCUUCAAGAACCAUUGCCAUCCUCCAUUUUCUUUACAACCAAAGGUUUUCCAGGUUGUUGAGUCUCGUGUGUUUGAGUUCUUGAUGAAGCUCCGCUCUGAUUGUGACACGGGGAAGAGUUUUUAGAGUCAUUUACUCUGUCAUUUUAUUUUUAAUUUAAAAUGUUUCUUGUUAGAAAAGAAAAAUAUUUUUAUUAGUGAUGCUUAUGCUAAUUUAUUUUCAUUAGCAAUAUGAAGAAAAAUGUAAUACCUUAAACCAAUAUUUUCAUAAGUUAUUUUGACUCCAAGCCUAUUUAUUAUUUAUAACCGCUGCGUAAUUUUGAAAAGCA